GGAUUUGCUUGGCGUGGAACUGACACGCUCUGCAUCGCCGGACCAGAUCGACUGCGUCAUUGAGAGCUGUCGGCCAAUAAAAUCCUUGACGAAAGGCCUUGCCAACCAGGGUACGCGAGGCGGAAUGGGCUCCGCACUCGCCCUCAUGGAUGUCAGCAAGAAGCUCAACGCCUUGUUCCUGAGGAAUGCACUUCAGGAGGAUUCCGUUAGCCGCGCGCCGAUAGAGGGUCCCUUCUACCAGCACAUAGCGUUUGGAAAUGCGUUGUACGCGUUCACUCCCUUCGCGGUCCUCAGGUAGAGUCUUAUCUGUGAGGUAUGCUUGGAUCUCAG
rnacentral:misc_RNA from 1 species